rnacentral:rRNA from 1 species
UAUGACAAUCAGGAUAGAAUGUGCCCCAUCUCAUCUGAUCUCAGAAGCUAAGCAGGGUCGGGCCUAGUUAGUACUUGAAUAGGAGACAAUCAGAAUAGUUGGGAUGCAGAU